UACGUAGGGUGCGAGCGUUGCCCGGAUUUAUUGGGCGUAAAAGGGCGCGUAGGCGGGUCACGCACGUCCGUUGUGAAAUCGCUCGGCUCAACUGGGCGGGGUCAGCGGAUACGGUGUGACUGGAGCAAGCUAGGGGGCAAUGAAUUCCCGGUGUAGUGGUGGAAUGCGUAGAUAUCGGGAGGAACACCAGUGGCGAAGGCG
rnacentral:rRNA from 1 species